rnacentral:rRNA from 1 species
UACGUAGGGUGCAAGCGUUAAUCGGAAUUACUGGGCGUAAGGCGUGCGCAGGCGGUUUCGUAAGCUUGAUGUGAAAUCCCCGGGCUCAACCUGGGAACUGCAUUGAGGACUGCGAGGCUAGAAUACGGCAGAGGGGGGUGGAAUUCCACGUGUAGCAGUGAAAUGCGUAGAGAUGUGGAGGAACACCGAUGGCGAAGGCAGCCCCCUGGGCCUGUAUUGACGCUCAUGCACGAAAGCGUGGGGAGCAAACAGG